rnacentral:rRNA from 1 species
UGAGGAAUUUUGCGCAAUGGGGGAAACCCUGACGCAGCAACGCCGCGUGAGUGAUGAAGGCCUUCGGGUCGUAAAGCUCUGUCAAGUGGGAAGAAUCUGCUCGGCGAUAAUACCGCUGGGCAAUGACGUACCGC